rnacentral:rRNA from 1 species
AUUGAACGCUGGCGGCAUGCUUUACACAUGCAAGUCGAACGGCAGCGCGGGCUUCGGCCUGGCGGCGAGUGGCGAACGGGUGAGUAAUACAUCGGAACGUGCCCAGUAGUGGGGGAUAGCUCGGCGAAAGCCGGAUUAAUACCGCAUACGACCUGAGGGUGAAAGCGGGGGAUCUUCGGACCUCGCGCUAUUGGAGCGGCCGAUGGCAGAUUAGCUAGUUGGUGGGGUAAAGGCCUACCAAGGCGACGAUCUGUAGCUGGUCUGAGAGGACGACCAGCCACACUGGGACUGAGACACGGCCCAGACUCCUACGGGAGGCAGCAGUGGGGAAUUUUGGACAAUGGGCGAAAGCCUGAUCCAGCAAUGCCGCGUGUGUGAUGAAGGCCUUCGGGUUGUAAAGCACUUUUGGCGGGAACGAAAUGGACUGUGCCAAUACCACGGUUCGAUGACGGUACCCGCAGAAUAAGCACCGGCUAACUACGUG